rnacentral:rRNA from 1 species
GUAAGUAUAUAAAGAAACUAUUACGGAUGAAUAAGCUAUAUAUUAAAGACGAAUUAAAUAAAGUGUUCUUGGAAAAAUCCAUUUUUUAAACGUAGCGAAUUGAAAUAUCUUAGUAGCUUCAGGAAUAAAAAUCAAAUGAGAUUCCAUAAUUAGCUAUAACUGUUAUGGAAAAGCCUUUAAAGUAAAACGGAAAUAAUCUGUUUGAAUUUAGGGAAACCUUUCUCUAAGGCUAAAUAUGAUAUAUAAGCGAUAGCGAAGCAGUACCGUGAGGGAAAUUUUUGAAAUAGUAGUUUUAUAAGCAGCUCAAGUUUAAUUUAAAAGUAUAAUGAGAGCGUACCUUUUGCAUAAUGGGUCAGCAAGUUAAUGUUAGAUGCGAGAUAAGGUUCAGAAAAAAUUAAGGAGUAAAGCUUAAUUUAUUUCUUAGUUAAUGCUAAAAGUAGAUUAAAGAUGAAACCGAAAUGAGUAAAAUAAUUCCUUGUCCUAGAUAAACCAAUUAUUAAUCAAUGAUUAAGUAUCUAAUGUUAGACCCGAAGCCUAGUGAUCUUACCAUGAUCAGGGUUAUAAAGGCCCGAACGGGUUAUCGUUGUAAAGAUAUCCGAUGAAUUGUGGUAAGUUAGUGAAAGACAAAACUGACUAGGAUAGCUGGUUUUCUGCGAAACCUAUAUAAGUAGGUAAUGUAAAUAACAUCAUAGCAGGUACAGAACUGUGAUCUCGGACAAAUUAUGUUGUUUUCUUAUGGAUAGCAAUAUGAUUUUGUAUACAUCGGGGAAUCGUGAAGAUUUUAUCGGCGAGAAUUUGCUCUCGGAAGGGCAAUGAUGGAUUUUGCAUAAUCGGACAUAGUACGAUAAGGUUGUAUGUCUAAAGGGAAACAGCCCAGAACAAGAGUUAAAGGUUCCAAAAUUAUUGUUAAGUGAAAAUAAGGAAGUUUUCUUCAAAUACAACCAGGAAAUAGGCUUAGAAGCGGCCAUUUUUUGAAGACCUCGUAACAGAGCACUGGUUUAACAUUAAAAGUUGAAAGCACCGAAAAUUUAACGGAUCUAAAACAAUAUACCGAAACCUUGUCUAUAAAUAAAUAUAUUUUGUAACGAAAAAAAAAAACUUUUUUUUCUUAAGUAUUUUUAUUUAUGGGGUAGCAGAACGUUGGGCAUGUCUUAGACUUAGUAUUUUUAAUAUUAAGUAGGUUCAAUUAAUACAAUAUUGAACAUAUUAUUUAAACCAAGUAGGUUCAAACCAGUAGGUUAAACGCUUAUUUGUUUGAAUCUAUUACAUAACCGUUGAUAAGAUGACCCCAAGUGAGAAUGCUGGCAUGAGUAACGAAAAAGGGAUAGCCCCUCGCCUUAAGCUUAUGGUAUUUAAAUAAAGUAACGGCCUCUAAGUUUAUAAUUGUCCUAAAGGAUUAAACGAUGAGAAAAUCUUUAGAUAUGUCUAACAACAUUGUGAUAUUUUGAGUACAUAAUGUUCCGGAAAAAGACAUAUUAAUAUUUAUAACCAGAAACGAAUGUUUUGGUCCCUUCGUGGGAAUAACAUAUAAAUAUUUACAACCGUACCUAGAUACUACCACAAGUAAGCAAGUAGAGUAUACAAAGGCGUUUGAGUUAACAAUCAUUAAGGAACUCGGCAAAAUGACACCGUAACUUAGGGAUAAGGUGUGCCAUUCUUUUUAAGUAAUAUUAAGUUAAGAAUAGGAGGCAUAGAGUGGUGUUGUACGACUGUUUAAUUAAAACAAAGCACUUUGCAUAAGAUGACAAAUCAAAGUAUUGAGUGUGAAUUCUGCCCGAUGUUGGCUGGUUAACGGAUUUUCUUAGCCGACUAAAAUAAGCUAGGUUUUGAAGGAAACCCCAAUCAAUGGCGGCCUUAACGAUAAGGGUCCUAAGGUAGCGGAAUACCUUGGCCGUUAAAUGCGGUCUUGCAUGAAUGAUUUAACGAUACAACAGCUGUCUCAAUGAUUGGCUCAGUGAAAUUGGAAUAACUGUGCAGAUACAGUUUACCUCUAGUUAGACGAGAAGACCCUAUGCAGCUUUACUGUUUGUAGUUAUUGGAUACAAUGGAACAAGUUGUAGCGUAUAAGGUAGUUGAUAAGAUACAAUUGAAACACCUUUACUUAGUUUAUUGUAUAAGUAGGAAACUUGACGAAAUAUAGUAGUCAGAAAAACUACAAAGCUUAUCCUAUAAAAGAUAUAUUUAGCACACAAAACUUUUGUGAUGCGAUAUAUUUGGAAACAUUUGCUAUUAGACAGUUUAUGCGGGGCACAGAUCCCACAAAAAGUACCUGGGUGUAUCCAAAGUUAAUUUUGUAAAUUUAUUGGCAAUAACAAUUUGCCAACAGAUAAAUGCAUUAUAUAGCAAAAGCUUUUGCUCUUGCCUGUAUAAUGUAUUUUUAUUUUAAUCUGUAAUGUAUUGCUUUCAAUAUAUUCAGUUAUUUAUCUAUUAAGUUAGAUUUAUUUAUUUUUUUUAAGUAAGAUUUUAACUAUAUGGAAAAUAGAUGUAAAUAAAACGCUAACAAUCUUUUACUAAAAAGAAUUAGUAGUGUUUUAGUUUAUUUUCUUAAUAUGCUCUAGAUAUUAAGGAAAUGAUUAUUAUUUUUACUUUAAAAGUUUAAUGGCUUAAUCUUGCUUUACUGUUUGACUUACACGUCUAUCAGUUGCGUAAGCAGGGCAUAUGAUCACAAGAUGCAUAAAGGAAAGGUCUUGGAUUUUUGAAAAAGCUACGCUAGGGAUAACAGGCUAAUUGCGCCAGAGAGUACAAAUUGAGUGCGCAGUUUGGCACCUCGAUGUCGGCUUAGCUCAUCCACAUGAAUGCAGAAAUCAUGAAGGGUACGACUGUUCGUCGAUUAAAGAGCUACACGAGCUGGGUUAAAUACGUCGUGAGACAGUAUGGUU